GACGAACGCUGGCGGCGUGCUUAACACAUGCAAGUCGAACGGAAAGGCCCUGCUUUUGUGGGGUGCUCGAGUGGCGAACGGGUGCGUAACACGUGAGUAACCUGCCCUUGACUUUGGGAUAACUUCAGGAAACUGGGGCUAAUACCGGAUAGGAGCUCCUGCUGCAUGGUGGGGGUUGGAAAGUUUCGGCGGUUGGGGAUGGACUCGCGGCUUAUCAGCUUGUUGGUGGGGUAGUGGCUUACCAAGGCUUUGACGGGUAGCCGGCCUGAGAGGGUGACCGGCGACAUUGGGACUGAGAGACGGCCCAGACUCCUACGGGAGGCAGCAGUGGGGAAUAUUGCACAAUGGGCGGAAGCCGGAUGCAGCAACGCCGCGGGCGGGAUGACGGCCUUCGGGUUGUAAACCGCUUUCGCCUGUGACGAAGCGUGAGUGACGGUAAUGGGUAAAGAAGCACCGGCUAACUACGUG
rnacentral:rRNA from 1 species